AAACUUGAACAAGAACAGAGGUGCUUAUUUAUAUAUGUACCUCCCACUACCCUCCCUUUGCCCUAUAGAAUUAGAGUUUGAUUAAAGUGUGAAAAGUAUGGCUUAGGGAGUCCUAUAAUACCUUACACAAAGGUGUCAUGAUUAAAAUUCUAUUUUAUGAGGGAGUUACUUUGUAAGGAUCCUGUCAUUUUUCUGUACCCAAGGAUUGAACCUAGGACUUUAACAGUUAUGGAUGUGUUUUACCGAGCCUCAUCACCAUGGGUAACUGACUGCAUCUCCAUCCUCUCUGCUGUUGGGGGAAUUUAAACAUCUUUAGUUGGGGCAAUAUUCAGUUUUACUCCCUUCUGAUAGUUUGCUAUAGGUGUUUUCACCAGCCACAUACGCCGUCCUGCUCAGUGCAAGUGAAGCAGCAGUGAGCAGUCUUCCUGAGUCAUCACACUGCUCCCUGUGUCUGCUGCUGACCCAGGGACCCCCUUGCUCCUGCCCCUCAAAGGGCCAUCCAGCUUCCCUCUGCACCUCCUAGUAGUCUUCCUCGUCUUGCAUUUCGCUAAGUUCCUGUGCAGUGAGAUCUGUGCCUGCCUGCCUGCCUGCCUGCCAUGCUUCUGAACCUGCUACUGACGUUAGGCAGAGAGAAGGGUUUCUGCUGUUGAAACCUUGCCUGCUAUGUGACUUUGUAAUCUAGGUGCUUGUUUUCCCUUCCUGGGUCAGAUCAAAUACCCGGAUGAAAGGGCUGAUCUAGAUUCACAGUUUGAGGCACAGUCUGUCAUGGUCAGGAAGGUCAAGGCAGCAGGAGCUUGAAGCAGUUGGCCACAUCUCCUCCACAGUCGAGAAUUCGAGAACAAAUGGAUUCUACUGUGCUGUCUUUAUGUAACCAGUAUUCUAGCCAGGGAGUGAUGCCACUCAUCAGUGGGUGGAGCGUCUACCUCAGUUAAUACUAUCAGUAAUUCCCUAAGGCAUGCCCAGAGGCUCAUCUUGUAGUGGUUCUAGAUGUUGUCAUGCUGACAGUCCAGUCCCACUAACCAGGAGGACUUUCCAGUGGUCCUCUGCUUCGGGUACGUACCCAUUUCUGUGGGUACCUAUUAAUAUCUACUCUGGUAUAUGCUGUGUUUGAGGGACAAAAAGGUCACAGAGACCUGCAUAUGGGGAGGUAACAUUGUUGAGGAUCCCACUCUGGCAUUCAUGUUGUCGUAAAGUAAGCAGUUAUGGCACAAGACAGGCAUCUUGGGCUAGGGCUAGAAGUCUGUAGACGAUAGAACUGGCAAGGGACUGAAGGGACACCCAGGCAAAGGUCACAUUUCCAGCCAAGCCCAGUGUGGUGGAUCAUGCCUGUAAUCCUAGCACUCAGCUAAGGCAGGAGAAUCACUAUGAAUUCAAGGCCAGUCUGGGCUACAGAGUGAGAGCACAACCCUCCCCCAACCCCCAAAGAAGUAUGAAAAAGAAUGAGUUUUAGGGAUGAAACUGCAGUGUUAAAGCUAGCGCUGGACUCGGAUGAAGCCUUGAGUGAAUCCAUUGCUGGGGUCACGGGUGGGUGAUGCAUGCAGUGGUGGUGCACACUAUAAUCCCAGCACUCGGGAGGCAGAGGCAGGCGGAUUUCUGAGUUUGAGGCCAGCCUGGUCUACAGAGUGAGGUCCAGAGCAGCCAGGGCUACAGAGAAACCCUGUCUCGAAAAACAAAAAAUAGGAACAGUACACAACUGACUAUUGUACUUAUUUAGGCCAAUGUUGUUUAAAGUACAAGUCUCAGCCUGUUUGAGCUGAAAAGGCAGCUUGAUGGUUUAAUGCAUUGUAUCAGCAUUAAAUAAACAAAC
rnacentral:lncRNA from 1 species